rnacentral:rRNA from 1 species
UACGGAGGGUGCAAACGUUGCUCGGAAUCAUUGGGCGUAAAGCGCACGUAGGCGGCCCAGCAAGUCGGGUGUGAAAGCCCUCGGCUUAACCGAGGAAGUGCAUUCGAAACUACUGAGCUUGAAUACUGGAGAGGAUCGCGGAAUUCCCGGUGUAGAGGUGAAAUUCGUAGAUAUCGGGAGGAACACCAGUGGCGAAGGCGACUUACUGGACACAUAUUGACGCUGAGGUGCGAAAGCGUGGGGAGCAAACAGG